rnacentral:rRNA from 1 species
GAAUGAGUACGAUUCGAACCACCUAACGAGGAACGAUCGGAGGGCAAGUCUGGUGCCAGCAGCCGCGGUAAUUCCAGCUCCAAUAGCGUACGUUAAAGUUGCUGCAGUUAAAAAAGCUCGUAGUUGAACGUCCGGGUUCCGCGGGACGGGGCCGCCCCGCGAGGGACGGCGCCGCCCUGGGGCCCGUGGGAUCCGAUCUCGCCGCCCGUCGCGAGGCGGACGGAGGGACGGAUGAGGUUACCUGGAAAAAUCGGGGCGAUCUAGGCGGGCGAACCUCGCCAACGAACGAUAGGACAUGGGAUAACGGAAGAGGGCAUCGGCUCGACUUCGUCGGUUCCUCGAGCUGAGGCACGUACGGUGAAUAGGGACGGUCGGGGCCGCCCGUACCGGGUCGCGGAGAGGUGAAAUUCUAGGAUCGACCCGAGACG